GACGAACGCUGGCGGCGUGCCUAAUACAUGCAAGUAGAACGCUGAAGGAGGAGCUUGCUUCUCUUGAUGAGUUGCGAACGGGUGAGUAACGCGUAGGUAACCUGCCUGGUAUCGUGGGAUAACUAUUGGAAACGAUAGCUAAUACCGCAUAAUAUUAGAUGUCGCAUGACAUUUGCUUAAAAGGUGCACUUUCAUCACUACCAGAUGGACCUGCGUUGUAUUAGCUAGUUGGUGAGGUAACGGCUCACCAAGGCAACGAUACAUAGCCGACCUGAGAGGGUGAUCGGCCACACUGGAACUGAGACACGGCCCAGACUCCUACGGGAGGCAGCAGUAGGGAAUCUUCGGCAAUGGGCGGAAGUCUGACCGAGCCACGCCGCGUGAGUGAAGAAGGUUUUCGGAUCGUAAAGCUCUGUUGUAAGAGAAGAACGAGUGUGAGAGUGGAAAGUGCACACUGUGACGGUAUCUUACCAGAAAGGGACGGCUAACUACGU
rnacentral:rRNA from 1 species